AUUGAACGCUGGCGGCAGGCUUAACACAUGCAAGUCGAACGGUAGCAGGGGAAAUCUUGCUUUCUUGCUGACGAGAGGCGGACGGGAGAGUAAUGAAUGGGAAUCUGGCUUAUGGAGGGGGUUAACUACGGGACACUGUUGCUAAUACCGCGUAGAAUCGGAAGGUGAAAGUGCGGGGCCGCAAAGGCGCAUGCCAUGAGAUAAGCCCAAGUGGGAUUAGGUAGUUGGUGGGGUAAGGGCCUACCAAGCCUGCGAUCUCUAGCUGGUCUGAGAGGAUGGACAGCCACACUGGAACUGAGACACGGUCCAGACUCCUACGGGAGGCAGCAGUGGGGAAUAUUGCGCAAUGGGGGGAACCCUGACGCAGCCAUGCCGCGUGAAUGAAGAAGGUCUUCGGGUUGUAAAGUUCUUUCGGUAUUGAGGAAGGUUGAUGUGUUAAUAGCUCACCAUAUUGACGUUACCUACAGAAUAAGCACCGGCUAACUCCGUG
rnacentral:rRNA from 1 species